GAUUGCCAGUGACAAUUUGGGCAUGAAGAUAAAAGAACAAAACCGACUCCUAACAAUUGUUACUACAGAGAAAGAUCAACUACAGGAAAUGAAAGCAGAAUUAGAAAAUGAACUUCGAAUACUGAAAGAAGAGCUAAAAGCAACAAAAGUUGAAAAUGAAGACAUGAAGGCAUUGAAGAGUCGCUCCACUAAUCAGCAGUUACUUCUAAAUCAACUUAUAGGUCAGCUCAAAGUUCAGGAG